rnacentral:rRNA from 1 species
GACGAACGCUGGCGGCGUGCUUAACACAUGCAAGUCGAGCGGUAAGGCCCUUUCGGGGGUACACGAGCGGCGAACGGGUGAGUAACACGUGGGUGACCUGCCCUUAGCUCUGGGAUAAGCCUGGGAAACUGGGUCUAAUACCGGAUAUGACUCCAUGACGCAUGUUGUGGGGUGGAAAGCCUUGUGCGGCUAGGGAUGGGCCCGCGGCCUAUCAGCUUGUUGGUGGGGUGAUGGCCACCAAGGCGACGACGGGUAGCCGGCUUGAGAGGGCGACCGGCCACACUGGGACUGAGACACGGCCCAGACUCCUACGGGAGGCAGCAGUGGGGAAUCUUGCGCAAUGGGCGAAAGCCUGACGCAGCGACGCCGCGUGAGGGAUGACGGCCUGG